rnacentral:lncRNA from 1 species
GCAGAAGCCUGGUCUCCCCGUUCGGAGCCGGCAGUCUGCGCUUGAGACGUUAAGACUUGAGACAGGCCAGAGGAGCUCUCAGGGCCGGAGGGAGGCCAGGACGGCUGUAGCCUCUCUGUGGUUCUGCCUGGAAGACGGAAGGCAGGUGGUUGGCUCUAGUCAUCCACGACGGGCUGGCACCUCUCCAGCUGCGGCCAGUCUAACCCCAGGGCCUGCUGGGAAAUGUAGUUCGAAUGCAAACAACCAAUGGACGACCGUCAGG